CUUCUCUUCCCUUCCCUUCUCUUUCCUACCCCUCAAGCAAAUAGUAAACCAUCAAACAUCGCAUCUCCUCUCAUUUCUUCGCAUUUCCCUCUCUCCCACACUUGCCGGAAUUUCAUGCCGCCGUUGCUACGUCUCCUUCCUAUAGACGUUCUACCUUCCGCCUCCACUAGAAGCAUCUCGAAGGAGUGGCCGCGCCGACUUAAACAGGAGCAGCGCAGCUGCCGCUGUCUUCCGCCGCCACGGACCAGCAGUUUCCGGAGGCGGCCGCUGCGCCUCAAGCCUACUCUCUGCGCAGCUCUCUAUAUUAGAUACAUGACGCGACAUGCGAAUUGUGAAUAAUUUGAGAAAAUCUAUUUCUUCUGUUGGAUAUUCUGAAUUUAACAAGCAUAUAUGCAACUUUGAGAAGGUUCCAGUUUCUUUUUUCCACGGAAACUUGAGGAGGUACAGUGGCAGUUCGAGUCUUGAAAGUUUUUCUAGUAAAACUCAUGAUUUUAAUCAAUCUAGUGGAGUUCAGCAUUGGUUCAAGAAUUGGCAACACUUGAGAAAGAAUAAACUAACAGCAAGUACUUUUGCUUUGGCAAUUGGUUUCUGGCCUCGUGGACGGGCUAGAUUAUGGCUAGAGAAACUUGGAACAAUCGAGCCAUUCUCAGGUAAUUUAGCAACUUGUUGGAGCAACAUUAAUGAAGAGGUGGCGCUUGAAAAAUAUAAGCUGUUAACUGGAAAUACAGUAUCGUAUCCUGAAUUCCAAGUGUAUGGAGAGAACCCUGUCGAUAAUUGGCUUGCUGCUUCCCCCGAUGGAGCUACUGACAGUUAUAUAUAUGGAUUGCCCAGCCAUGGGGUUCUUGAAAUUAAAUGCCCAUUCUUUGGUGGUGAAAUGAGCAAAGCAGAGCCAUGGAAACGAGUACCACUGCAUUAUAUCCCCCAAGCUCAAGGCUUGAUGGAGAUAUUUGAUCGAGAUUGGAUGGACAUGUAUGUCUGGACACUCAACGGCAGCAGUUUGUUAAGGAUACACCGCAAUUUGGAAUAUUGGGACACUAUGAAGAUAGCGUUGUCUGAUUUCUGGUGGAAGCAUGUCCAACCAGCACAAGAGAUUUGCAAUAGAACAGUGAUCACAAAUCCACUGAUUGAACUAAGGUCAUUGAGACCAUCCCCUAAGCAUAAAUUACAUCGUCGCAUUGUGUAUGAGAGCAAACUUAUUGCCGACAACUCCGAGCUCUUGUGGUGGGAGAAUGAUAGAAGAUUUCGGAAUUGAUGCUUGGAAGGAAGACAAAAUUGUGGUAAAGAGUUUGUUCGUUUUCCAUAACAAAGGCAUGAAGCUGCUAACUGUAUCCAGUUUGAUGUGAAGUAAUCAGUUGGUGGAUUUCGAUUGAUGUGAGCUCUUCCUAAAUUUAGUGAUGCUCACAUAUGAACUGAAACCACAGGAAAGUAAAAACAAUGUGUAAUUUUGUUUUACAGUGGCUGCAAGAUACUGAUCCUAACAUGGAAUUUGAGCAGAUUCAGAUUGGCUGCGUUUGUAGCAAACCAUGGUGCAUUGAUAAAUUCUUGAGCUCACUGUCUCUUAGGGCAUUCGUAGUGGUGCGGAUGUCCCGGCGCCCUUCCCCGCGGAGUUCCCACUGCCAUGUCAUAAGGACUUCCCACUGCUCUGCCACGUCAUAAGGACUUCCCACUGCACAGUGGCGGAAUUCCCGACGGAAUUCCCACAUUAAAAAAAAUCACAAAUUCACA